CCUACGGGAGGCAGCAGUGGGGAAUAUUGCACAAUGGGGGAAACCCUGAUGCAGCGACGCCGCGUGAGGGAAGAAGUCUCUCGGGAUGUAAAGCUCUAUCAGCAGGGAAGAAAAUGACGGUACCUGAUUAAGAAGACCCGGCUAACUACGUGCCAGCAGCCGCGGUAAUACGUAGGGGGCAAGCGUUAUCCGGAGUUACUGGGUGUAAAGGGAGCGUAGACGGCAUGUCAAGUCUGUAGUGAAAUGCUGUGGCUUAACCCCGGAACUGCUUUGGAAACUGGGCAGCUAGAGUGCAGGAGAGGUAAGUGGAAUUACUAGUGUAGCGGUGAAAUGCGUAGAUAUUAGGAGGAACACCAGUGGCGAAGGCGGCUUACUGGACUGUAACUGACGUUGAGGCUCGAAAGCGUGGGGAGCAAACAGGAUUAGAUACCCGAGUAGUC
rnacentral:rRNA from 1 species